UAUAUUUUUCUUCCUAGCCUCUCUCAAAAUUUCCUAAGACUCUCUAGAUCCAGAAUCGGUAUCGUACUCUCGACGUCCUCCAUCUACACUCAUCUUCGUUAACUCUGCUUAAAGGUUGCGACUUGCUGCACUGCUCCUCUGCCACAGCUGUGGCCACCACCGCCUCUUCCUUGCUCCUCCCUUCCAUAUCUCUCAACAACCUCUGCUCCUUCUCUAAAAAUGCCUCCCCCUCAGCUUCUCCGACAAGAGCAUCAGAAGAUCUAGGCUUUCCCUGAGCGUCUCUGCUGGAUCUAAGAAUACCUUCAAAAUUCUGGGUUUUCAAAUUACUGAUAAUGAAGAUUUUGGUCUCGUCGCGACUCUAUUUCUAUCGCUGAAUCCCUCUCUCUGCUCACUAUCUCUCUUUGACUCACUCUCUAGCCGCCUCUGUUUCUCUCUCGCUGCUUCACACCACCGCUCUCUCUUGCCGCUAUAAGACCACAAAUCCUCGUACUUUGUUCUGAGCAUCUAUUUUCGUGGGUAUGCUUCUGACUUUGAGCCAAUAUCACUUUUUCACUGAAUCCUUCAACUCUUGUCCGCAGGUGCAAAAUCUUCUGCAGAAAAUGCAAAACAGGUUCCAUAAAAUGUCGGACUCCAUUAUUGCAAAGAAUAUCCUUGCAUCAAUUUAUGGUUUUACUUGAAUGUUGCUUCGAUUAUCAUAUUUGAAGUGUUUCCAAUAAAGAAUGGAUUAACGCAACCGUUCUGGGCUCUCCCCUGGAGAUGUUAUGCCCAAACUCAUGAGCACAAGAACAUCUCAGUUCCGGAGUUUACAUGUGUCUCAUCUGCUAAGGUUCCUCCUCUGAGUAAAGGAGCUUUGUAUAUAAGGCCUCCGCUAAUAGGGAGUUUUCUGAUUUGUUCACUUGUAUAAAUGAAGUAAGUUUUGAUUUUUUCAAAGAGUUGCAUUUUGUUUGUUUGUUUUCAGAAGCGUGGAUGCUUAUUACUUGGUUUCCAUAAGCUCUCUCGGUCUGCACUCUCUCGGUCUGCUUAUGUGUUCAGUUCGAUUCUGAUUUUGCUUGUGUAUUGGAUUGGGUGAUCUGGUGAAGAUGCUUUUGAGACUGCAAAGAGUUGACGUUUCUUCUUCUCCUUAAUCUCAUUAGCUUUUGGUUUUAGUUCUUAUUCCUUCUCUCUGUUCUUGAGAGUUUUUUAAUUUUCUCAAUUUUUUUCCAGAAAAGAAGAAUGGUUGCAAUACUUAGACCACAUUAAGCAAAACGAGAGACUUGAAUCAGUUUCAGUUACAUCUCAUCAUUACAGGUUUGAUUUCUUGGUCCUUUACAUGAAUAAUACUGUGUUUAACACUCUUAGGUCGAUUAUUAUUUGCACAGUUCAUCAAAAGCAGGUUUUGGUUACAAUAAGCUUUUCUCUAGAACAAUUGGAACGUGUUUUGGAUACAAGAUCAAACCUGGUGGAUUUUUAUAUUGGGAAAAAAAACAGAAGAGGGCAACAACUGCUGCAAAAACCGGUUGCAAGAUGAUCACAUCUUCUUGAGUUACUAUGUGUGUAUGUUGCUUGGAACAAUGCAACUUAUGGCAUUGAUUCUCUCCCAGGCUAGGCAAGCUCUUCUCACGCAAAGAAUUGCUUCAGCACUUCAAGCAGCCAUGACCACGUUUUGUAAGACAUUUGGUAUGAUGUUUAAGACUUAAUGUUUUGUAAGACUUGUUUUUAGUAUGAUGUUUGUCCUUGUGAUGUUUUGUGUAAGACAUGUUUGGAUGUUUAAUAAAAAUAAGAGUGUUUUUAAUGCAAA